rnacentral:rRNA from 1 species
UACGUAGGUGACCAGCGUUGUCCGGAUUUACUGGGCGUAAAGAGCGCGCAGGCGGUCGUUCAAGUCGGGUGUGAAAGCCCUGGGCUCAACCCAGGAAGUGCAUUCGAUACUGGCAAGCUAGAGUCCCGGAGAGGAUGGUGGAACUCUCGGUGUAGAGGUGAAAUUCGUAGAUAUCGAGAAGAACACCGGUGGCGAAGGCGGCCAUCUGGACGGUGACUGACGCUGAGACGCGAAAGCGUGGGGAGCAAACAGG